UGGUGUUGAGGAGAGGUUGCCCGUGCGCGUUCACAUUUCUCAUGUUGCACAAUACACGGUCGACCUCUCUUCAGCAUC
ensembl:miRNA